UACGUAGGGGGCAAGCGUUGUCCGGAAUCAUUGGGCGUAAAGCGCGCGUAGGCGGCCCGGUAAGUCCGCUGUAAAAGUCCAGGGCUCAACCCUGGAAAGCCGGUGGAUACUGUCGGGCUAGAGUCCGGAAGAGGCGAGUGGAAUUCCUGGUGUAGCGGUGAAAUGCGUAGAUAUCAGGAGGAACACCGGUGGUGUAGACGGCUUCUGGACCGUAACUGACGCUGAGACACGAAAGCGUGGGUAGCAAACAGG
rnacentral:rRNA from 1 species